CUAUUCCCCAAUCCCCGUCCCUCUCUCCUCCAAUCCCAUCAAGAUCCACUCCCGUCCUUCACUGCCACUCCAUUUGCUUGUUUUCUGUUUGGCUGGAGCAGGGGGAAGGGAAGCAUGGCUCCAUGGUUGGGGAGGUGGAGGUCAACGUGGUGAAGCCACGGGGGAAUAUGACAACCUGUGAUGUGCAUCGGCUCCCGCGGCUUCGGCGACCUCUCCCUCCUCCUAGCGAUUCAGAAGGGUAUCCUUCUCCCUGCAGCGAUUUACAAGGGGUUUCUUCUCUCUGCAGCGAUUUGGAAGGGGGAGUGAGGAUAUUGCGGGGGAGAUGAAGUGGACGCCUGAAAUUUGCCUCCGAAACCCAUGAAGAACUCGAUUCAGUUCGGUUGGCUGGUUUCCCUUCUUUUCUUGCAAGGGAUGUUGUUUUGUUCAUGGUUCUCUCAUGUUAGAUGCAGUCCUCUUGUUCGUGUUUGGUUCAGACAUUAUUCAUGUUAAUCCCAUGCUGAUCUGAGAUGGCAGGAUGUGGCUUUUACAUAAGAAAGCAUUAGUUUCCAUUGACUGGACACAAGGCCAUGUCCAUAGGUGAUGUUCUUAAAGUUUAUGGUCAGAUGGAAGGGCUACCAGGAUCGGCCUCCUCCAACCCCACCCCUCCUCAGGGCCCACGGCAACAAAGUUAUACCAUGACACAGAGACACAUCAACAAAAUGCACAAGCCUGACACUAUGACAGUAGCUUG